rnacentral:misc_RNA from 1 species
UUAUAUACCUACCGUUAUUCUUUGCAAGAGAUAUUUCCGGCUUGAUUUAAAACAGAUUAUAAUUUGUGUGUGUAUCAUUAUAGUUUCAAGGCUACAGCAGAAACAAUAUUCUAAAAAUAUUGAAAACUUUUUUUUUGUAUACAACAAAAGAAAUAAGUCAAAUAAACCUGUUCAUUGUGACGUUAUUUGUUAUGAUACAAAAUUGUGUUAUGUGGAUUUUAGAGAUCAAAAAGUAAUGAUGUGAUUUUUUUAUUAAAAAUCUACAGAAGUUAGUGCAAAGUGCACAUACAAAUCAUGAUUUUAAGGAUACUUAUCAUAACAUGUUUUAUCUCAAUGAUUUAUGCCUCAAGAAUUAUCACAAGAGAUGAUCCAGUACCAGACGAGUCAGCGUGUAUAUGCCACCAUGGUUACACUAUUCAAAAACAUCCAAAAGAUAAUAAAUUUUACUGUAAAGGUAUCCUACAUGAUGGAAAAACAGCCUGUGUAAACCUUGAGCGACCGCAGUGUAAGUGCACCUUAAUAAAAGGUUUUGUUAUUCAAGACAUCUAUAGAUACUGGUGCGUAAAAGUGAAACCUGGGUACGUUGAAGAAAUUAGAUGGGAUUGUGAAAAUAAAAAAGAGUGGGAUAGGUUUUUUGACAUUUACCCGGAGGAGCGACCAAGUGCGGAUAGUCAACUUUAGCGGAUUCUUUUAUAAUAAAUUAUAAAUUGAUUAAUUUGUUAACAUUAAACAUAAUGCGAAUAUUGGUUCUUUGUUACUUUUAAGAGAAUAUCAAAUUUUUUAAUUUUGCUGUAUCGUGUGUUUGCACGUGUAUAGUUCGUGCUUAUAUUACCGGAACAUGAUUUAAAAAAAA